GACGAACGCUGGCGGCGCGCCUAACACAUGCAAGUCGAACGAGCGAGAGAGAGCUUGCUUUCUCGAGCGAGUGGCGAACGGGUGAGUAACGCGUGAGGAACCUGCCUCAAAGAGGGGGACAACAGUUAGAAAUGACUGCUAAUACCGCAUAAGCGCACAGCAUCGCAUGAUGCAGUGUGAAAAACUCCGGUGGUAUGAGAUGGACCCGCGUCUGAUUAGCUAGUUGGUGAGGUAACGGCUCACCAAGGCGACGAUCAGUAGCCGACCUGAGAGGGUGAUCGGCCACAUUGGGACUGAGACACGGCCCAA
rnacentral:rRNA from 1 species